rnacentral:lncRNA from 1 species
CCCCGCGCCCGCGGAGCCCCGGCUCCCGCCUGCCCAGCCCCCUCCCGGGGAGCGAGCCGGGACCCAGGGGUGGGAGCAGAGUCGGGGCUUUGUGGCGCCGGGGGCCGAGGAAGAAUGAAACGUGCAGUUGGGAGUGUUGCUCGCGUCCCAGGGAGCAGCGCAGGCCCGAUUGUCUGCCGCCGAGAUGGCCUUUUGUUCGGAGCAUAAGGUUUAAGAAACACACACACGUUUUCUGGGGUCUCUUGUUGGAUGUAAAUGUGCCGCAUCCAGACGCUCGCGGNNNNNNNNNNNNNNNNNNNNNNNNNCGCCCCGCCCCGCCCCGCCCCGCCCCGGCGACCGGGACCGUUGGGACGCGGACCUCACCCAGACUUCUGGGCCGCCGGCACUGCCUUCGCCCCGUUUCACUCCAGACUAGCCAAGCAUCCCACGGAGAUGAUAAAGCAAACAAUAACAUCUGAUCAUGACGUCCACGAGAUAAUGUGCCCGGCAAAGUUCUUUAGGAAUCGGGAUGAGCGGGAGGGUGAGGGAGUGAUCGUUUCCCUUCGUUUUCCUUAAACGUGACUUUAAGAGAUAAAUGGUGAAGUUUAUACCUUGGCCUGCUGGACAGCCGGUCCGCCCCAUGGCACGAAGCUCGGCAUCAAAGGGCCAAAUUAGACAUUCGACCGGGAGCCCUCGAAGCUGAGGAUGUUACCUUUGAAGAACAGAAACAAUGAAAAUACAGAGGAAUUGCAUUUGGAUACUUCUUCCUGUCAAUCAUCUUUGCCAGAUUCCUAUUUGAACAUCCUGAAAAUGAGGAAGACAUCAGAUCUCGCCUUAAGGAAGUCUGAUACCCAGGAGAUGAUCCGAGUUUCAACUCUCUGUGGUGAAAAGAGGGUGAAGAGCAGCAGAAAAUCCAAUUCUCUUGACCUUCAGGACAUGGAGCAGAACUCAUCGCUUCCACCUGGCCUACCCAAGUGGCUCCAGGAAAAUUCAGCAAGGAUAGUUGUCCUUCAUGUUUCUAUUGUAGUACCCUUUCUUCCUGACCUUCUAUUGCUCCUCUGUGCCUAGGUACAGAAAGUGAAAAGAAGCAAUCUGACCAAUUCAUAUAUAUAUAAAUACACCAGUGUGUUAAUCUUUCCAAAGCUACCAAGAAGGCAAAAGAAGAUUGCUUCAUGGAAGGCAGUGCGGAAAGCAGGGAUUAAAAAAUAUCAUUCACUUAUUGACAAAUUUCUUGAAUGUCAAGAAUGCUUGGUAUAUAAAGAUAAUUAUCACACAGUCCACACUGGGUAUUUUGCAUGUGGAGCCAAUAUGAAUUUUUGGGAGCCAGAGUGGACUAUAGUAGGCAGAAUAAGGCUGCUUCUCUUCAAUAGAUGUAUCUGCCCUCCUCUAUUUUCUUACAUGAGGAACAAAAGGAACUUUACAGAUAGAAAUGACGUUAUGGACCUUCAAAUAGAGAAAUUAUCUUGAAUUAUCUGGAAGGAGCCAGUGUAAUGUCAUGGGCUCUGCAAAGUGGCAGAGGAAGACAGAAGUCAGUGAGACAGAUGUGAAGAACAAAAGGCAGAAGAGAUUUGAAGUGAAAAUAACCACCACUGCUAGCUUUGCAUAUGAAGAAAAUGGCUUCCACAAGCCAGGGAAUGUGUGGUCCUUGGAAGCUGGGAACUACCCUCGCUGAGAGCUGAGGAAGUCAGUCCUACAACUGCAAGGAAUUCAUUUCUGCCAACAACAUACACAAGGAAGGAAACGGGUUCUGUCCUACAGAAGUUAACCUAUAGAACUGUGACAGCCAUAACUUUGUCUGUUUGAAGUGGCUUGGUUUGUAGUAAAUUGUUAUUGCAGUUACAGAAAACUAAUACAAAUGGGAAUAAAAAGAACGCUUACCUUAAAAAGAGAAUUAAA